rnacentral:rRNA from 1 species
AUUGAACGCUGGCGGCAGGCCUAACACAUGCAAGUCGAGCGGAUGAAGGGAGCUUGCUCCUGGAUUCAGCGGCGGACGGGUGAGUAAUGCCUAGGAAUCUGCCUGGUAGUGGGGGAUAACGUCCGGAAACGGGCGCUAAUACCGCAUACGUCCUGAGGGAGAAAGUGGGGGAUCUUCGGGCCUCACGCUAUCAGAUGAGCCUAGGUCGGAUUAGCUAGUUGGUGGGGUAAAGGCCUACCAAGGCGACGAUCCGUAACUGGUCUGAGAGGAUGAUCAGUCACACUGGAACUGAGACACGGUCCAGACUCCUACGGGAGGCAGCAGUGGGGAAUAUUGGACAAUGGGCGGAAGCCUGAUCCAGCCAUGCCGCGUGUGUGAAGAAGGUCUUCGGAUUGUAAAGCACUUUAAGUUGGGAGGAAGGGCAGUAAGUUAAUACCUUGCUGUUUUGACGUUACCAACAGAAUAAGCACCGGCUAACUUCGUG